UGCCAGCCGCCGCGGUAAUACGAAGGGUGCUAGCGUUGUUCGGAAUUACUGGGCGUAAAGAGCAUGUAGGCGGAUGAAUUAGUCAGAGGUGAAAGCCCCGAGCUCAACUUGGGAACUGCCUUUGAUACUGUUUAGCUAGAGUAUGAGAGAGGGUAGUGGAAUUCCGGGUGUAGCGGUGAAAUGCGUAGAUAUCCGGAGGAACAUCAGUGGCGAAGGCGGCUGCCUGGCUCAAUACUGACACUGAGGUGCGAAAGUGUGGGGAGCAAACAGGAUUAGAUA
rnacentral:rRNA from 1 species